UAGGGAAUAUUGGACAAUGGGGGCAACCCUGAUCCAGCCAUGCCGCGUGAGUGAAGAAGGCCCUCGGGUUGUAAAGCUCUUUUGUCCGGAAAGAAAAGCAUUCGGUGAAUACCCGGAUGUUCUGACGGUACCGGAAGAAUAAGCACCGGCUAACUUCGUGCCAGCAGCCGCGGUAAUACGAAGGGUGCAAGCGUUACUCGGAAUUACUGGGCGUAAAGCGUGCGUAGGUGGUUGUUUAAGUCUGAUGUGAAAGCCCUGGGCUCAACCUGGGAAUGGCAUUGGAAACUGCACGUCUUGAGACCGAGAGAGGUAAGGGGAAUUCCUAGUGUAGAGGUGAAAUUCGUAGAUAUUAGGAAGAACACCAGUGGCGAAGGCGCCUUACUGGCUCGGUACUGACGCUGAGGUACGAAAGCGUGGGGAGCAAAC
rnacentral:rRNA from 1 species